GGGCUCGUAGUGAAAGGGAAUCACGGCUCCCCCGCAAGGAGCAGGUCGGGGUUCGACUCCCCGCGGGUCCA
rnacentral:tRNA from 1 species